AAUAGAUACCUCGGUAGUCCACGCCCUAAACGAUGUCGACUGGUUGUUGGGGGUUUGACACUCUCAGUAACGAAGCUAACGCGUGAAGUCGACCGCCUGGGGAGUACGGCCGCAAGGUUAAAACUCAAAGGAAUUGACGGGGACCCGCACAAGCGGUGGAUUAUGUGGAUUAAUUCGAUGCAACGCGAAAAACCUUACCUACCCUUGACAUGUCCGAGAGCCUGCUGAAAGGCGGGUGUGCCCGAAAGGGAAUCGGAACACAGGUGCUGCAUGGCUGUCGUCAGCUCGUGUCGUGAGAUGUUGGGUUAAGUCCCGCAACGAGCGCAACCCUUGUCAUUAGUUGCUACAUUCAGUUGGGCACUCUAAUGAGACUGCCGGUGACAAACCGGAGGAAGGUGGGGAUGACGUCAAGUCCUCAUGGCCCUUAUGGGUAGGGCUUCACACGUAAUACAAUGGCGCGUACAGAGGGCUGCUAAGCCGCGAGGUAGAGCCAAUCCCUUAAAGCGCGUCGUAGUCCGGAUUGCAGUCUGCAA
rnacentral:rRNA from 1 species